rnacentral:rRNA from 1 species
UACGUAGGGGGCAAGCGUUGUCCGGAUUUAUUGGGCGUAAAGAGCGUGUAGGCGGCUUGGUAGGUCCGCUGUGAAAACUCGAGGCUCAACCUCGAGACGCCGGUGGAAACCAUCAGACUAGAGUCCGGAAGAGGAGAGUGGAAUUCCUGGUGUAGCGGUGAAAUGCGCAGAUAUCAGGAGGAACACCGGUGGCGAAGGCGGAUCUCUGGGCCAUUACUGACGCUGAGGAGCGAAAGCGUGGGGAGCGAACAGG